AUUGAACGCUGGCGGCAUGCUUUACACAUGCAAGUCGAACGAGUGGCGAAAGGGUGAGUAAUAUAUCGGAACGUACCGAGUAAUGGGGGAUAACCAAUCGAAAGAUUGGCUAAUACCGCAUAUUAUUCGAGCGGCAGAUAACUGAUUAGCUAGUUGGUGGGGUAAAGGCCUACCAAGGCGACUAUCAGUAGCGGGUCUGAGAGUACGAUCCGCCACACUGGGACUUAGACACGGCCCAGACUCCUACGUGAGGCAGCAGUGGUGAAUUUUGGACAAUUGGGGCAACCCUGAUCCAGCCAUGCCGCUUGUAUGAAGAAGGCCUUCGGGUUUUAAAGUACUUUUGUUAAGGAAGCGGUACCUAAUGAAUAAGCACCGGCUAACUACGUGCCAGCCGCCGCGGUAAUAC
rnacentral:rRNA from 1 species